UAAAGAGUCUCUUCCUUGUUCUACUAUCUUGCGUUGCAAUGCCACCAACGGAGGCCGUCUUCGUUACGGUGUCGUUUGGAUGAAGUGUUUUGAGAAGACCUGCGAUACCAGCAACAUGAGGGCCUGACAUAGAAGUUCCCUGUUGCAUAUUGAAAGGAAUACGGCGUCUAUCUGAUGGUAGAUUUGAUGGACUUGCGGCUAGUGAAUAAGCCGCCAAUAUGUUCACACCAGGGGCAGUUACGUCUGGCUGAAACAGAGAACUAAGUGUUCAACUUGAGAGAACGAAACAAAAAAAUCGUGAAGACGAGAUAAGUUAUAGACCUUAAGUAUCAAUGGCUGCACUGCACUGGGACCCUUGGAUGAGAAUCCAGCCAUAAUUGGAGCAGGUUUUAUACCUAAAUGUGUUCUUGCUACAGUCAUGUAAGCAGCAAGUUUCCUGCAGUGUAAUUUAUGAAUGAAACAAUACUAGGUAUGAGUUUAGAUUCAUGUCAAAUAAUCUAAAAUGACUUUGAAAUGCCAAUUAA
rnacentral:sRNA from 1 species